rnacentral:rRNA from 1 species
GAAUCCCGUCUUUGGCACGGAUGCACCAGGGCUUUUGUGAUGCGCUCUCGAAGAGUCGAGUUGUUUGGGAAUGCAGCUCAAAAUGGGUGGUGAACUCCAUCUAAAGCUAAAUAUUGGCGAGAGACCGAUAGCGAACAAGUACCGUGAGGGAAAGAUGAAAAGCACUUUGGAAAGAGAGUGAAACAGUACGUGAAAUUGUUGAAAGGGAAACGCUUGAAGUCAGUCGCGUCGACCGAGACUCAGCCUUGCCUCGGCUCGGUGUACUUCUCGGCCGACGGGUCAGCAUCAAUUUUGCCCCUCGGAUAAUGGCGAGAGAAAGGUGGCACCCUCACGGGUGUGUUAUAGUCUCCCGUCGGAUGCGAGGGUCGGGAUUGAGGAACUCGGCACGUACCGUGCUUAGGAUGUUGGCAUAAUGGCUUUAAACGACCCGUCUUGAAACACGGACCAAGGAGUCUAACAUGCCCGCGAGUGUUCGGGUGGAAAACCCGUGCGCGUAAUGAAAGUAAAAGUUGGGACCCCUGUCGUGGGGGGCACCGACGCCCGGACCAGACCUUCUGUGACGGAUCUGCGGUAGAGCGUGCAUGUUGGGACCCGAAAGAUGGUGAACUAUGCCUGAAUAGGGUGAAGCCAGAGGAAACUCUGGUGGAGGCUCGUAGCGAUUCUGACGUGCAAAUCGAUCGUCAAAUUUGGGUAUAGGGGCGAAAGACUAAUCGAACCAUCUAGUAGCUGGUUCCUGCC